AACAAGUAUCUAACCGUCAAAAACACAAAAAUGAAAGGAGAAAGGGGUUUCCUAAUAAUUCCAUUUAAAAAUGAUAGCGCUGAACACUAGGACAACAACCAGGUCGUAAAUGCAUAACAAGAUAUAUAUAUUUUUUCUCUCUUUUUAUUGAAGUCAAGGCUUUAUGGCACCGUGCCCUUAUAAAGAUAUAGAGCCAUUGAUAAGGGCAGAAAGUCUGCCCCAGACCGACAUUUUCUCGACCCUUAAUGAUCAUCUCUAGAGGGAAUUAUAUAUCUUUGAGGGUGGAAAAUAAGUUAUAAAUAGGAUUUAUAAUCAAUUAUCGUGGGAAUUAGGGCUGGAAAAACCCCACCGGAAAAAACCUUUCCUGUUUAUGAAGAAAUAUCGUUUGGCAACGUAUUUAAAGGUCGUCUGCGCUUUUGUGUUUGUGUCGACUGUCAAACAACUGAUCACGUACUCACAUUCGUCAAUCUAAUCUGUUAAUCUUCUUUAAAAUUAUUGACUUGAGAGAGAACCAACCCUAACUGGAAAUUUUGAAAGUAUUUGGGUUUUAACUUACUUUUCUGAAUUUUUGUGUGUACAUUUACAUUUAUGUUUUUCUGAGUAUAGGUAUAGACAUCUAAAUAGCAUUAAAUUAUAUCUUGGGUUAAGGAUCUGUAAAGUUCUUAUUCUUAUUUCCUUUGAAAUGAAACUCAAACUUAUUGACCUUUGAAGAUUGUAAAACCAAAAGGUUGCAUUCCGAGUAGCCUGUUGAUAAAUAGAUUAUUGGAAGUAAUGUUAAAGGUCAAUGUAGUUUCGCAAAGAAUGUAUUCACAAGAACUGCCCCUUUCACAAUUUCAAACGAGAACAUUUACAAGAUAAUGCAAUACUGAUUAUUCUGGAGAUCGUUGACUGUGCUUUGUGUGAAUGCCAAAAGGUUGCGACUAGGUGAUAAGGAUUACCUCAUAAUAAUUGAGGACGACUAGAGUCCAGAUUCAUUGUGCUGUGCUGUAUAGAUUCACGUUUUGACAAAAUCAUCACGAAACGGGGCUCCUUUCAGUUCGUCGGGAGUGGCAGGGACAAUUCGGACCCAAACAGCGACUCGAUGCUCUAAACUGAGAAAAAGAGCCUUAAGUCUAAUGUCAUGAGAGCAAUCAAUCGAAUCUUCAGUGGGGAUCAGUAUACCUGGGCAAAAGUAUAUUGGACGAUCCAGGUCGCCUCACGCCGUAUUGAAGUUGAACAUUGGCCCAUUUCGUCCCGCAAUUAUUUACGUAACCUUGCAAAUCUAUGCGAUAACCUCCAGAGUUGACAAUGGUGCCAGCGUGUCCAUCAAUGGAGUGACUCGGUUGGAAGGUCUCUUCAAUCACCUGUUUGGCAGUUUUAAUUUCCUUCGCGCUCAAUCUAUGCAAAUGUGUACCUCUGUCCUCGGCCACGAAGAACGUGGUCGUCGAGUCUUCCGCGUUCACUUCCACGUAAACCAUUUUCUUGCUGGCGGAUGGCUCUGCGUUUCGGCGUGUUUUGGCUUUCCUCACCUGGCGGUUGUUGUUGUAGACAAAGUCACGAAAUUGUUGCAGCGGUCCCCCCCACGGCGAUUAUACUUUUCCUCUUCAUGUCGAUUUGAUGAAUGCGAACGCCAGGGCAAUAAAAACGUGCAGACUCAAUCCCCGAUCGUGAGUUUCAUUUAAACCGUAUAGACUUUUUACGCAGAUUAUUAUUCCCCUAGCUCUUAUUAUAACGACUUGUAUAUAUUAUAAAAGACCUCUUCGAUGCUUUUUGGCCAUAACGCGAACGGCUUUAUCACGACCCGCCAGGAUAAUAGUCGGUCGGCAGUCAAUAGAUUUCCUUUGUUAACCGAAUUUGAUGACUUUGAAUUAACAUUUUUGCCAUUUCUCAAGUUGUUUUUAUCUUCAGACGAUUGAACGCACAAAUUUCAACUGGUUUUUUAUCGUCUGGAAAUGCCAUUUCAUGGGGGUCAAAUACCUUGCGCAUCACAAUAAACAGGUAGAUGAUAAGGAAUGAACAAAUAAUUGCCAUGCUGAAAGAAGAUUUGUCAUUCAAACUUUUUGUUGACUGCCACCCAUCGAUAACAAGCCACUAAAGAUCAAGUCAAUCAAUCAAGUAACAAUCUUUUUUGUCUUGGCAGUAUAUUUCUUUUUUCUUUCUUUUUUUUUGAACGUCUGGACAACAUAACAUAAAUAAUUGAAUAUAGUAUUUCGAUCAUCGGGUUGGUUACUUUGAUUUGUUAUAUUAUUAUUUUUCUUUUCCCCAUUGUUCUCUCAAAUCACACGGACAGUCUAGUUUUAAAAGCCCACAGCAGUUAGUUGAAUUAUUAUUCUUUUUCGUUUCGGUAUUUUCGACUGUUGUGGUGUACAAAAGCAAAACAACAAAUUUCAUUCCGAUAUAAAGUGAAAUCUUUUGCUUUCAACACAAAAAAAAACACAAAAAUGUAAUUUUUUAGAUCUAGGAUUUUACACUGACUAAGUGGGACUGUAAUUAUCGUAAAGAUGUGUGUCACACCAAUUUCUUUCUCUCGACAAAAAGCCAUCGAAAAUCGUGGGUAAAAAUUUGAUUUUUGUAAAGAGGGGAAAGCGGAGGGAAAAAAAAAGAAUUUUUUGAUAGCAAACUACACAGCACACACGCGGCAACAAAAUUGUGGGAGGGAAAAUAAUAAAAACUUUUUUUUUUUGGUUUGGGAAACGACCCAAAUAAUUUUUUGAAAAGAAAAAGAGAAAAAAUUAGGGGAGGAAGCGCCAUUUGUUUUUUUAAAAGGAACUGGGUAUUAUUAUUUAAUAUAGAAUAAUAGAAAGAUUAUAAAGACACAACGUCCGAUCACAAUCGUAAUGGGACGUAUCCAUUUGUUGGUGGUAUUGACUAAAAAAUAAUAAAAUCGCAUAUAGUAUUUUUGUUUCCCCCUUUCUU
rnacentral:lncRNA from 1 species